rnacentral:rRNA from 1 species
GGGUUGUGAGGUUAAGCGACUAAGCGUACACGGUGGAUGCCCUGGCAGUCAGAGGCGAUGAAGGACGUGCUAAUCUGCGAUAAGCGUCGGUGAGGUGAUAUGAACCGUUAUAACCGGCGAUUUCCGAAUGGGGAAACCCAGUGUGUUUCGACACACUAUCAUUAACUGAAUCCAUAGGUUAAUGAGGCGAACCGGGGGAACUGAAACAUCUAAGUACCCCGAGGAAAAGAAAUCAACCGAGAUUCCCCCAGUAGCGGCGAGCGAACGGGGAGGAGCCCAGAGCCUGAAUCAGUGUGUGUGUUAGUGGAAGCGUCUGGAAAGGCGUGCGAUACAGGGUGACAGCCCCGUACACAAAAAUGCACAUACUGUGAGCUCGAUGAGUAGGGCGGGACACGUGGUAUCCUGUCUGAAUAUGGGGGGACCAUCCUCCAAGGCUAAAUACUCCUGACUGACCGAUAGUGAACCAGUACCGUGAGGGAAAGGCGAAAAGAA